rnacentral:rRNA from 1 species
GUCAAAAAUCUAGCCCUCACCCUCUUAUGGCCCCCUCAACAACAUGAUAUAAACUAAAACAUUUAUUACAUCUUAGUAAAGGCGAUAGAAAAAUUAAUAGGAGCAAUAACAACAGUACCGCAAGGAAAUGAUGAAAUAAAAAUGAAAUAGAUACUAAACACAAUAAAGCAGAGUUAUACCCUCGUACCUUUUGCAUCAUGAUUUAACUAGUCCAAUCAAGCAAAAAGAACUUUAGUUUGACACCCCGAAACUAGACGAGCUACUCCGAGGCAGCUUAAUGAGCACACCCGUCUCUGUUGCAAAAGAGUGGGAUGACCCCCGAGUAGAGGUGAUAGACCUAACGAGUCUAGUGAUAGCUGGUUGCUUAAGAAAAGGAUUUUAGUCCAACUUAAAAUAUGCUAAAUUAAUUUAGAUAAAUACUAUGUUUUAAUGUCAUUCAACCGAGGUACAGCCCGCUUGAAAUAAGGAUACAACCUAUACUAACGGGUAAAUUUUAAACUUUAUAAACAAGUGGGCCUAAAAGCAGCCAUCUUUAAAAUAGCGUCAAAGCUUAUCUAUAUUUAAGCCUAAUUCCACAAUACCCACUCAACCCUUUAUCCCUACUAAGCACCCCUAUAAUUAUAUAGAGGCUAUUAUGUUAGAACUAGUAAUAAGAAGCAAGGCCUUCUCUUAAAUGCAUCUAUAAAUCAGAAAGGACACCCCACUGAUAAUUACACGCUAUGAGCACAAUACAGCAACUUCCCCUAGAAAACCCUGCACCACUAAGCGUUAACCUAACACUAGAGCAUUCCAAGAAAGAUUUUAAGAAAAAGAAGGAACUCGGCAAACAUUAACCUCGCCUGUUUACCAAAAACAUCGCCUCUUGAAACCAUAUAAGAGGUCCAGCCUGCCCAGUGACCAAGUUUAACGGCCGCGGUAUCCUAACCGUGCGAAGGUAGCGUAAUCACUUGUUCUUUAAAUGAGGACUAGUAUGAAUGGCAUCACGAGGGUUAUACUGUCUCCUUUUUCCAAUCAAUGAAACUGAUCUCCCCGUGAAGAAGCGGGGAUAUAACUAUAAGACGAGAAGACCCUAUGGAGCUUUAAACUAUGUUACACUGGCCUAUAGACCACUAUAUUUCAGAAUCACUAUAAUUACUUCGGCCACCCUGUUUACUAGUUUUAGGUUGGGGUGACCACGGAGCAAAAAUUAACCUCCACGAUGAACGGAACUAUUCCUGACCCAAAAGCAACGACUUUAAGCACUAAUAAAUUAGCAUUAAUUGACCCAAUAUUUUGAUCAACGAACCAAGUUACCCUAGGGAUAACAGCGCAAUCCAUUUUAAGAGCCCCUAUCGACAAAUGGGUUUACGACCUCGAUGUUGGAUCAGGGUAUCCCAGUGGUGCAGCCGCUACUAAAGGUUCGUUUGUUCAACGAUUAAAACCCU